GCCGGGCGUGGUGGCUCACGCCUGUAAUCCCAGCACUCUGGGAGGCCAAGGCGGGUGGAUCACCUGAGGUCAGGAGUUUGAGACCAGCCUGGCCAACAUGGUGAAACCCCGUCUCUA
rnacentral:SRP_RNA from 1 species